AGAGUUUGAUCCUGGCUCAGGACGAACGCUGGCGGCGUGCCUAACACAUGCAAGUCGAGCGAUGAAGUUUCCUUCGGGAAAUGGAUUAGCGGCGGACGGGUGAGUAACACGUGGGUAACCUGCCUUAUAGUGGGGGAUAGCCUUUCGAAAGGAAGAUUAAUACCGCAUAAGAUUGUAGUAUCGCAUGAUAUAGCAAUUAAAGGAGCAAUUCGCUAUAAGAUGGACCCGCGUCGCAUUAGCUAGUUGGUGAGGUAAUGGCUCACCAAGGCGACGAUGCGUAGCCGACCUGAGAGGGUGAUCGGCCACAUUGGGACUGAGACACGGCCCAGACUCCUACGGGAGGCAGCAGUGGGGAGUAUUGCACAAUGGGCGAAAGCCUGAUGCAGCAACGCCGCGUGAGUGAUGACGGCCUUCGGGUUGUAAAACUCUGUCUUCAGGGACGAUAAUGACGGUACCUGAGG
rnacentral:rRNA from 1 species